CGGAGGCAGCAGUGGGGAAUCUUGGACAAUGGGGGAAACCCUGAUCCAGCCAUGCCGCGUGAGUGAAGAAGGCCUUAGGGUUGUAAAGCUCUUUCAGCGGGGAAGAUAAUGACGGUACCCGCAGAAGAAGCCCCGGCUAACUCCGUGCCAGCAGCCGCGGUAAUACGGAGGGGGCUAGCGUUGUUCGGAAUCACUGGGCGUAAAGCGCGCGUAGGCGGAUAGUUAAGUCGGGGGUGAAAGCCCGGAGCUCAACUCCGGAACUGCCUCCGAUACUGGCUGUCUUGAGUCCGAGAGAGGUGAGUGGAAUUCCCAGUGUAGAGGUGAAAUUCGUAGAUAUUGGGAAGAACACCAGUGGCGAAGGCGGCUCACUGGCUCGGUACUGACGCUGAGGUGCGAAAGCGUGGGGAGCAAACAGGAUUAGAUACCCGAGUAC
rnacentral:rRNA from 1 species